rnacentral:tRNA from 1 species
UGCGAUAUGGUGUAAAUGGUAUAGCACAGCAGCCUCAUGACCUGUUAGCUUAGGUUCAAAUCCUGAUAUCGCUA